rnacentral:rRNA from 1 species
GAGGUUGUUCUGGCUCAGAUUGAACGCUGGCGGGAUGCUUUACACAUGCAAGUCGAACGCGCACGGACUUCGGUCUGGUGGCGAGUGGCGAACGGGUGGUAAUGUAUCGGAACGUGCCUAGUAGCGGGGGAUAACUACGCGAAAGCGUAGCUAAUACCACAUACGCCCUUCCAGGAAAGCGGGGGACCUUCGGGCUGCGCUAUUAAACGGCCGAUAUCGGAUUAGCUAGUUGGUGGGGUAACGGCUCACCGAGGCGACGAUCUGCGGCUGGUUGAAGGGACGACCAACCACACUGGGACUGAGACACGGCCCGAACUCCUGCGGAGGAGCAGCAGUGGGGGUACCGGAUGACCGGAAAACCUGAUCCAGCCAUCCGGUAGCCGAUGGGGCCUGGGUUGUAACACUUUUGGCAGGAAAACGGCACCGGGAUAAUACCCCGUGCAAUGACGGUACCUGCAGGGAAUAAGCACCGGCUAACUGCGUACCAGCAGCCGCGGUAAUACCACGUAGGGUGCAAGCGUUAAUCGGAAUUACUGGGCGUAAAGCGUGCGCCGGGCAGUUUUCGGAAAGAAAGAUGUGAAAUCCCAGAGCUUUAACGCCUGGACUCUGUUUACCCCGCUACCGAGCUAGAGUGUGUCAGAGGGAGGUGGAAUUCCGCGUGUAGCUGUGAAAUGCGUAGAUGUGCGGAGGAACACCAAUGUGGCUGGCACUCGCAGGAUAACACUGACGCUCAUGCACGAAAGCGUGGGGAGCAAACAGGAUUAAGGCCUGUGUAGUCCACGCCCUAAACGAUGUCAACUAGCUGUUGGGGUAUUGGUGUAGUAGCGCAGCUAACGCGUGAAGUUGACCGCCUGGGAAGCCGGUCGCAAGAUUAAAACUCAAAGGAAUUGACGGGAUUUGCAAGCGGUGGAUGAUGUGGAUUAAUUCGAUGCAACGCGAAAAACCUUACCUACCCUUGACAUGUCAGGUCCGAAGAGAUUUGGUGCUCGCAAAGAGAACCGGAACACAGGUGCUGCAUGGCUGUCGUCAGCUCGUGUCGUGAAGAUGUUGGGUUAAGUCCCGCAACGAGCGCAACCCUUGUCAUUAGUUGCUACGAGGGCACUCUAAUGGGAACUGCCCGACAAACCGGAGGAAGGUGAGGACGACGUCAAGUCUCUGGCCCUUAUGGGUAGGGCUUCACACGUCAUACAAUGGUCGGGACAGAGGGUCGCCAACCCGCGAGGGGAGCCAAUCCCAGAAACCCGAUCGUAGUCGGAUCGCAGUCUGCAACUCGACUGCGUGAAGUCGGAAUCGCUAGUAAUCGCGGAUCAGCAUGUCGCGGUGAAUACGUUCCCAGGUCUUGUACACACGCCCGUCACAUAGCCAGGGUGGGUUUUACCAGAAGUAGUUAGCCUAACCGUAAGGAGGGCGAUUACCACAGUAGGAUUCAUGACUGGGGUGAAGUGUAUAAAACUAA